AGAGUUUGAUCCUGGCUCAGGAUGAACGCUAGCGGCAGGCUUAACACAUGCAAGUCGAGGGGCAGCAUGUCCAGCAAUGGAUGAUGGCGACCGGCGGAAGGGUGCGUAACGCGUGAGCAACAUGCCCUAUACAGGGAGAUACACCAGGGAAACUUGGUCUAAUAUCCCAUAGCAUUCAUUGAAGGCAUCUUUAAUGAAUUAAAGCUUCGGUGGUAUAGGAUUGGCUCGCGUGACAUUAGCCAGAUGGUGAGGUAACGGCUCACCAUAGCAAUGAUGUCUAGGGGUUUUUGAGAGGAAGGCCCCCCACACUGGGACUGAGACACGGCCCAGACUCCUACGGGAGGCAGCAGUGAGGAAUAUUGGACAAUGGAUGGAAAUCUGAUCCAGCCAUGCCGCGUGCAGGAAGACGGCCUUAUGGGUUGUAAACUGCUUUUAUACGGGAGCAAUAAGGGUUACGAGUAAUCCGAUGAGAGUACUGUAUGAAUAAGGAUCGGCUAACUCCGUGCCAGCAGCCGCGGUAAUACGGAGGAUCCGAGCGUUAUCCGGAAUUAUUGGGUUUAAAGGGUGCGUAGGCGGCCAUUUAAGUCAGCGGUGAAAUUUUGCAGCUUAACUGUAACAGUGCCGUUGAUACUGUUUGGCUAGGAUUUGGUUGUAGUGUGCGGAAUGUGUGGUGUAGCGGUGAAAUGCUUAGAUAUCACACAGAACACCGAUUGCGAAGGCAGCACACUAAGUCAUUAUUGACGCUGAGGCACGAAAGUGUGGGGAUCAAACAGGAUUAGAUACCCUGGUAGUCCACACUG
rnacentral:rRNA from 1 species